CAAGUCGAACGCGAAAGCCUCCUUCGGGGGGCAAGUAGAGUGGCGCACGGGUGAGUAACACGUAGGUAAUCUACCUUUGGAUGGGGAAUAACAACCGGAAACGGUUGCUAAUACCGCAUAAUGCAGCGGCACCUAAUGGUGACAGUUGUUAAAGCGGGGGAUCGUAAGACCUCGCGUCUGAAGAGGAGCCUGCGGCAGAUUAGCUAGUUGGUAAGGUAACGGCUUACCAAGGCGAUGAUCUGUAGCCGGCCUGAGAGGGCGGUCGGCCACACUGACACUGACAUACGGGUCAGACUCCUACGGGAGGCAGCAGUCGGGAAUUUUGGGCAAUGGGCGAAAGCCUGACCCAGCAACGCCGCGUGAAGGAUGAAAUCCCUCGGGAUGUAAACUUCGCAAGAACGGGAAGAAUAAGUAAGAGCUAACAUCUCUUAUGAUGACGGUACUGUUUGUAAGCUCCGGCUAACUCCGUGCCAGCAGCCGCGGUAAUACGGGGGGAGCAAGCGUUGUUCGGAUUUACUGGGCGUGAAGGGCGCGUAGGCGGCCACCGCAAGUCGACUGUGAAAUCUCCGGGCUUAACUCGGAAAGGUCAGCCGAUACUGCGGGGCUAGAGUGCAGAAGGGGCAACUGGAAUUCUCGGUGUAGCGGUGAAAUGCGUAGAUAUCGAGAGGAACACCUGCGGCGAAGGCGGGUUGCUGGGCUGACACUGACGCUGAGGCGCGAAAGCUAGGGGAGCGAACGGGAUUAGAUACCCCGGUAGUCCUAGCCUUAAACGAUGAAUGCUUGGUGUCUGGGGUUUUAUAGUCCCCGGGUGCCGUCGCUAACGCUUUAAGCAUUCCGCCUGGGGA
rnacentral:rRNA from 1 species